GUGAAAUUGUUGAAAGGGAAACGGUUGAAGUCAGUCAUGCCGGUGGGAAUCAACUUAGGGGAAACUCUGAGUGCAUUUCUACACUUGGCAGGUUAGCGUCGAUUUUGGAUGUCAUAAAAUGACUGGGGGAAGGUAACCCCUUCGGGAGUGUUACUCCCUUAGUACAUGUGAUGUUCAGGAUCGAGGAUUGCAACGGAUACCUUUUAGUCUAACUGCUUGAUCUCUAAUUGGUAGUUUGGUUAUGGACAGCAUGCUGACCGGGAUGUAAUUUUCGGUUAAAAGAUUAGAGCUAGUGUAAAUUCGUUAAGGACGCUGACGUAAUGGCUUUAAACGAC
rnacentral:rRNA from 1 species